CUCCAGCCAUGUUGGGCGACUGAAUGGAAAGGUGGCGGCGGCGCUGAGGCAGGAGGAGGAGGAGGUGAUUCACGGCCGGCGGACGCCCGCCCCUUCUCCCCCGCUCACCCCCCGCGCCAGGUCCCGGGGGCGGGGACGACGCGCGCCUGACUGGAGAGCGCGGCGGCGGCGGCGGCGGCGGAGGAGCCCGCAGGCCGCCCGCGGCGUCCUGACGGCCGAUGAGUAAGGAAGAACUGAAAGGAAGAGGAACUACCUUUCCCUCUCUUUGACUUUCCUUUUACAUCAUCAUUAGUAGUUAGCUACGGGGAAGUGAUGACUAAGAAAAGCUCCUACAACAGUGUCUGACACAUAAUAUGGAUCAUUAAAGAUAAGCUGAAUGACUAAGUGAUUUUGGGCAAGAUAUGGGAACUUUCUAAGUCUCAGCUUCUUAUUGUUUUAAGAAGCAGAUACGGAUGCUACCGCUGCACCUGUCUAAGGUACACUUGGAAGAAAGAUCAAGUCUAGCACACCCUAAACAGCCAAAAAGAAGCUACAACAUGCAUUAGGGCAACAAUUUCACCAGUUUUUGCCCCUGAGGCCAUCUACUCAAGGUUUUUCUGGGUUCCACAUUCUAAUCAGUCAUUAAAAGUUAUUUGCCUCUUCCUUUUUGCUGCUAGCAGAAAAGAUUAAAAGAAAAAGUUCUGAUUACAACUUUAUGUGCAAACAACCGGCUUUGGAAGAGCAUGCCUAGACAGCCAUCUCCUCAGAAAUCUUUUUGAAAAAAAGUCUCUAAAAAACUAACCCUUGGGACGCCUGGGUGGCUCAGUGGUUGAGUAUCUGUCUUUGGCUGAGAUUAUGGUCCUGGGAUCCUGGGAUGGAGUCUUGCAUCGGGCUCCCCAUGGGGAGCCUGCUUCUCCCUCUGCCUGUGUCUCUGCCUCUCUCUGUGCCUCUCAUGAAUAAAUAAAUAAAAUCUAAAAAAAAAAAAAAAAGAAACUAAUCCUUAGUACCGCAAUCAGAAAUAUCAUUUUCUGUCAGUGCUUCUUUUUGUUGUAUAUAUUUUCCUCAUUAAUAACAAUGGAAAGCAUUUAUAGAACUCUUCUAUCAUGACAGUGUAACGUGUGAAGUGACAAACAAGCAUUAUUUCGCAUAAUUCUCCCAUCUCCAGGAGAGUACAAUUAUUACUUCUAUGUAACGUUGAGGAAACAGAAGCCUUCCCAACAACAUCCAUCUGUCAAAAUCUGACCUUUAUUUCAGGCCUCACUCAAAAAUCACCCUCUCUUCAACCUAUUCUUGAUUUUACUACUCUGCCUCUGGACCAGAUUUAUGAUUUUUUUUCUUCUUUCAGAUCUUCAUCACAUUUUAUUAAUGUCUUUGAUAGUAUUGUAAUGAUCACUUUUUAACUCCUUAUCUAAACUGUAAAUUACUAAAGGGCAGAAUUUGUGGAAAAUUUAAGAGUGCAGACAGCACUUAUUAGUUGGAUAAAUAAGUGAUUCCCAGAAGAAGGACAUGCUAUGCUUUAAUUUAACAUAGAAUAAAUUUUCAUUGCAGAUGGUCUGCUGCCUACCAGUUAUAGUUCUCAGAGAGACUAUUUCCAGACCAUAGUGUCUAUUAAAGGUGGCAUUCAAACUAUCAGGAAGGAAAACAGAAUACCUGAGAUUCUGUAAACCAGCAAAUGAUUAGAAAAAUCUCAGCCUACAUUAAAAGUAUUUGCAUAUGAAGACUAUAUACUGCAAAGUAACAGAAGGGCAGCCCUGGUGGCUCAGUGGGUUAGCGCCGCCUUCAGCCCAGGA